CCAGGUGGGUAGAUGGCAGGUUGAAUAAAGAGAAGCUAGUGAUGUGGGGGUUCUCUCAUAACCCUCAGUCCCCAGGUGGGUAGAUGGCAGGUUGAAUAAAGAGAAGCUAGUGAUGUGGUGGUUCUCUCAUAACCCUCAGUCCCCAGGUGGGUAGAUGGCAGGUUGAAUAAAGAGAAGCUAGUGAUGUGGGGGUUCUCUCAUAACCCUCAGUCCCCAGGUGGGUAGAUGGCAGGUUGAAUAAAGAGAAGCUAGUGAUGUGGGGGUUCUCUCAUAACCCUCAGUCCCCAGGUGGGUAGAUGGCAGGUUGAAUAAAGAGAAGCUAGUGAUGUGGGGG
rnacentral:lncRNA from 1 species